AAUUCGCCCUUCGUGCCAGCAGCCGCGGUAAUACGUACGGUGCGAGCGUUAAUCGGAAUUACUGGGCGUAAAGCGAGCGCAGACGGUUAAUUAAGUCAGAUGUGAAAUCCCCGAGCUCAACUUGGGACGUGCAUUUGAAACUGGUUAACUAGAGUGUGUCAGAGGGAGGUAGAAUUCCACGUGUAGCAGUGAAAUGCGUAGAGAUGUGGAGGAAUACCGAUGGCGAAGGCAGCCUCCUGGGAUAACACUGACGUUCAUGCUCGAAAGCGUGGGUAGCAAACAGGAUUAGAUACCCUGGUAGUCCACGCCCUAAACGAUGACAAUUAGCUGUUGGGACACUAGAUGUUUUAGUAGCGAAGCUAACGCGUGAAAUUGUCCGCCUGGGGAGUACGGUCGCAAGAUUAAAACUCAAAGGAAUUGACGGGGACCCGCACAAGCGGUGGAUGAUGUGGAUUAAUUCGAUGCAACGCGAAGAACCUUACCUGGUCUUGACAUGUACGGAAUCUCUUAGAGAUAGGAGAGUGCCUUCGGGAGCCGUAACACAGGUGCUGCAUGGCUGUCGUCAGCUCGUGUCGUGAGAUGUUGGGUUAAGUCCCGCAACGAGCGCAACCCUUGUCAUUAGUUGCCAUCAUUAAGUUGGGCACUCUAAUGAGACUGCCGGUGACAAACCGGAGGAAGGUGGGGAUGACGUCAAGUCCUCAUGGCCCUUAUGACCAGGGCUUCACACGUCAUACAAUGGUCGGUACAGAGGGUAGCGAAGCCGCGAGGUGAAGCCAAUCUCAGAAAGCCGAUCGUAGUCCGGAUUGCACUCUGCAACUCGAGUGCAUGAAGUCGGAAUCGCUAGUAAUCGCAGGUCAGCAUACUGCGGUGAAUACGUUCCCGGGUCUUGUACACACCGCCCGUCACACCAUGGGAGUGGGGGAUACCAGAAUUGGGUAGACUAACCGCAAGGAGGUCGCUUAACACGGUAUGCUUCAUGACUGGGGUGAAGUCGUAACAAGGUAA
rnacentral:rRNA from 1 species